rnacentral:lncRNA from 1 species
AUGUCACCAUUUUGGGUGGCCAAACCCAACAUCCAACACCGAGUGUCGCCAUUCUGGUUGGACAAACCCAUCGCCCGAAGUCGAACCUCACCGUUCUGGUUGGCCAAACCCAAAGCCCAACGCCGAAUGUCACCAUUUUGGGUGGCCAAACCCAACGCCCAACACCGAAUGUCACCAUUUUGGGUGCCAAAUUCAUUGUCCAAACUUGAAGCUUGCCGUUCCGGUUGGCCAAACCCAACUCCCAUCGCCGAAUGUCAACAUUUUGGGUGGCCAAACCCAUCGCCCAAAGUCAACCUCACCGUUCUGGUUGGCCAUACCCAACACCCAACGUUGAAUGUCGCCAUUUUAGGUGGCCAAACUCACUGUCCAAACUUGAAGCUUGCCAUUUCGUGUGGCCAAAGCCAACUCCCAACACCAAACCUCGCCGUUUUGGGGCGGCAAAACUCAACAUCUGCCAACAAACCCCGAGGGGAUUCUUUAUGGUCCAACCACGCCGGCCAACAACCCCACCUUAAAGACAGAACCUCAGCAUUGGCAACAGCGUCCAAAACACGACCGCGGGCGCCCGGGGCUCGGCGUCACCCCCUCAUCCGGCGCCCGGAGCCGCGCUCAGCGCACCGGCACGUUGAUUUCGGCCCCGCUGGCCUCCUGCACGUUUUCAGCCGUGGUUUUUCCGUGCUGCUCCUUCAGAUGCCUGCGGAUGGCGGGUUUGUGAGCGAAGCGCACGUCGCAGUAGGAGCAGCGGUACGGCCUCUCCCCGCUGUGCAGGUUCAUGUGGUCGUGCAGGGUGGAUUUUUGGGUGAAGCUCUUCCCGCAGAUGCCGCAGCCGUGCGAUUUGACGCCGCGGUGGACGUUCAUGUGCCGGUUCAGGUUGCUGCUGUGGUUGAACUGCUUGCCGCAGCGCGGGCACAUGAAGACGAAGUGUUGGGCUCUCAUGUGGAACACCAAUUUCUCCACCCCUUGGAAGCCUUCCCCGCACUUCCCGCAUCGCGCCGGGGCGCAAGACGCAUGAAUCGUGCCAGAGCCCCUCGGCAGCGCUCCACCACGUGCUCCAUCUGCAGGUAGCUGGCAGCCGUCAGAUAAUUGACCAAAUCUCGCCCGGCGAACUCCAAGGCUCCGGUGUAACAGGAGAGGAGGAGGUCGGCCAAAACGCGGGCGCUGUGAGCCAGGGAGACGCGCAGCUCGGCCGCUGGGUUGAGCAGGAAUUGAUCCCGGAGGAAAGGAGAGCAGGCGGCCAGGAUGACGCGGUGGCCGCGGAAGCGGAGGCUGCGGGCCACGAUGGUGACGUCGCAGAAACGCUCCUCGGCACGCAGGCGGGUCAUGCUGCGAAGGGCUGCAGCCUCGUGGCCCGGCAGCUGGAAACCAACCGACCACGAGGACGGCCCCGGCGUGGCACCGCCAUCAUCCCCACCUCCUCCUCCUCCUCCUGGCCCGGGGAAGAUGAGCACCCCUUCUCCUUCAGCAUCUUCUGCCAGGCUGUACCUGGCUUUCACCACGCCGAGCGGAGGCAACCGCGGCGCUU